rnacentral:rRNA from 1 species
CACCUCUAGCAUCACCAGUAUUAGAGGUCCGCCUCUUUUUCCAAAAACAUGGUCUUUUGUUUAUAUAAAAGAUCUGGCCUGCCCAAUGAUAUUGUUUAAUGGCUGCAGUAUUUUGACUGUACAAAGGUAGCAUAAUCAUUUGUCUUUUAAUUGAAGUCUGGAACGAAUGGUUGGAUGAAAGGUUUACUUUCUUUAUUUUAAAUAUAAAAUUUAAUUUUUAAAUUAAAAAGUUUAAAUAUUAAUAUAGGACGAGAAGACCCUAUAAACUUUAUUUGUAUGAAAUAUUAAUUAUUUUGUUAAUUAUGAUUUUAUAUAUCUAUAAAUUUUGUCGGGGUGACAAAAAAAAUUUAACUUUUCUUAUUUAUUACAUUUAUGUAUGCGUUUUUGAUCCUUUAUUAUGGAUAAAAAGAAACUACUACCCUAGGGAGAACCGCGUUAUUAUUUUACAGAGUUCAUAUUGAUAAAAAAGUUUGCGACCCCGAUGCUGGAUUAAAAUUAACUUUAGGGGUAUAAUACCACAGUUUAGGACCGUGCCACUUUUAAGUUGUUACCUGAACUGAGUGCAAGUCUGAGAACGAUUAAAGUCCUACGU